rnacentral:rRNA from 1 species
AUGCAAGUCGAGCGGUAGAGAGGUGCUUGCACCUCUUGAGAGCGGCGGACGGGUGAGUAAAGCCUAGGAAUCUGCCUGGUAGUGGGGGAUAACGCUCGGAAACGGACGCUAAUACCGCAUACGUCCUACGGGGGAAAGCAGGGGACCUUCGGGCCUUGCGCUAUCAGAUGAGCCUAGGUCGGAUUAGCUAGUUGGUGAGGUAAUGGCUCACCAAGGCGACGAUCCGUAACUGGUCUGAGAGGAUGAUCAGUCACACUGGAACUGAGACACGGUCCAGACUCCUACGGGAGGCAGCAGUGGGGAAUAUUGGACAAUGGGCGAAAGCCUGAUCCAGCCAUGCCGCGUGUGUGAAGAAGGUCUUCGGAUUGUAAAGCACUUUAAGUUGGGAGGAAGGGCAUUAACCUAAUACGUUAGUGUUUUGACGUUACCGACAGAAUAAGCACCGGCUAACUCUGUGCCAGCAGCCGCGGUAAUACAGAGGGUGCAAGCGUUAAUCGGAAUUACUGGGCGUAAAGCGCGCGUAGGUGGUUCGUUAAGUUGGAUGUGAAAUCCCCGGGCUCAACCUGGGAACUGCAUUCAAAACUGUCGAGCUAGAGUAUGGUAGAGGGUGGUGGAAUUUCCUGUGUAGCGGUGAAAUGCGUAGAUAUAGGAAGGAACACCAGUGGCGAAGGCGACCACCUGGACUGAUACUGACACUGAGGUGCGAAAGCGUGAGGAGCAAACAGGAUUAGAUACCCUGGUAGUCCACG